rnacentral:tRNA from 1 species
GGUUGUGGCUCAGUGGUAGAGUGCUUGCCUCGCACUUAUGAAGCACUGGGUUCAAUCCUUAGCACCA